GCUUGUCUCAAAGAUUAAGCCAUGCAUGUCUAAGUGUAAGCAAUUAUACCGUGAAACUGCGAAUGGCUCAUUAUAUCAGUUAUAAUUUACUUGAUAGUUCCUACUACUUGGAUACCCGUAGUAAUUCUAGAGCUAAUACAUGCGAGAACCCCUGACUUUUAGGAAGGGCGUAUUUAUUAGAUACAACCAACCCGGGCAACCGGUCCUUUGGUGAUUCAUGAUAACUUUGCGAAUCGCAUAGCUUUAAUGCUGGCGAUGGGUCAUUCAAAUUUCUGCCCUAUCAACUUUCGACGGUAGGAUAGAGGCCUACUGUGGUGAUAACGGGUAACGAAGAAUAAGGGUUCGAUUUCGGAGAGGGAGCCUGAGAAACGGCUACCACAUCCAAGGAAGGCAGCAGG
rnacentral:rRNA from 1 species